rnacentral:rRNA from 1 species
AAGGGGUUUUUACCUUCAGUACGGCGAGUGAAGCGGUAAAAGCUCAAAUUUGAAAUCUGGCUCUUUCAGAGUCCGAGUUGUAAUUUGUAGAAGAUGCUUCGGGUGUGGUUCCGGUCUAAGUUCCUUGGAACAGGACGUCAUAGAGGGUGAGAAUCCCGUAUGUGACUGGAUACCUAUGCUCAUGUGAAGCUCUUUCGACGAGUCGAGUUGUUUGGGAAUGCAGCUCAAAAUGGGUGGUAUAUUUCAUCUAAAGCUAAAUAUUGGCCAGAGACCGAUAGCGCACAAGUAGAGUGAUCGAAAGAUGAAAAGCACUUUGGAAAGAGAGUUAAACAGUACGUGAAAUUGUUGAAAGGGAAGCGCUUGCAAUCAGACUUGCACUUGGUGUUCAUCAGGGUUUCGUGCCCUGUGUACUUCAUCAAGUUCAGGCCAGCAUCAGUUUGAGUGGUUAGAUAAAGGCUUGGAGAAUGUGGCCCUCUUCGGGGGGUGUUAUAGCUCCAGGUGCAAUGUAGCCUACUUGGACUGAGGACCGCGCUUCGGCUAGGAUGCUGGCGUAAUGGUUGUAAGCGACCCGUCUUGAUC